GACGAACGCUGGCGGCGUGCUUAACACAUGCAAGUCGAACGAAGUGGCGAACGGGUGAGUAACGCGUAAUCAACCUGCCCUUCAGAGCGGGACAACAGUUGGAAACGACUGCUAAUACCGCAUACUGAAGGAGGGGAUUGCGUCUGAUUAGCUAGUUGGGGGGGUAACGGCCCACCAAGGCGAUGCACAGUAGCCAGUCUUAGAGGGUGAACGGCCCACUUGGGAAUUGAAAACGGCCCAGAAUCCUACGGGAGGCAGCAGUGGGGGAUCUUCCGAAAUGGACGAAAGUCUGACGGAGCAACGCCGCGUGAGUGAUGACGGCCUUCGGGUUGUAAAGCUCUGUUAAUCGGGACGCGGUACCGGAAUAGAAAGCCACGGCUAACUACGUGCCAGCAGCCGCGGUAAUUC
rnacentral:rRNA from 1 species